rnacentral:rRNA from 1 species
UUAAGCGACUAAGCGUACACGGUGGAUGCCCUGGCAGUCAGAGGCGAUGAAGGACGUGCUAAUCUGCGAUAAGCGUCGGUGAGGUGAUAUGAACCGUUAUAACCGGCGAUUUCCGAAUGGGGAAACCCAGUGUGUUUCGACACACUAUCAUUAACUGAAUCCAUAGGUUAAUGAGGCGAACCGGGGGAACUGAAACAUCUAAGUACCCCGAGGAAAAGAAAUCAACCGAGAUUCCCCCAGUAGCGGCGAGCGAACGGGGAGGAGCCCAGAGCCUGAAUCAGUGUGUGUGUUAGUGGAAGCGUCUGGAAAGGCGCGCGAUACAGGGUGACAGCCCCGUACACAAAAAUGCACAUACUGUGAGCUCGAUGAGUAGGGCGGGACACGUGGUAUCCUGUCUGAAUAUGGGGGGACCAUCCUCCAAGGCUAAAUACUCCUGACUGACCGAUAGUGAACCAGUACCGUGAGGGAAAGGCGAAAAGAACCCCGGCGAGGGGAGUGAAAAAGAACCUGAAACCGUGUACGUACAAGCAGUGGGAGCCUCUUAAUGGGGUGACUGCGUACCUUUUGUAUAAUGGGUCAGCGACUUAUAUUCUGUAGCAAGGUUAACCGAAUAGGGGAGCCGAAGGGAAACCGAGUCUUAACUGGGCGUUAAGUUGCAGGGUAUAGACCCGAAACCCGGUGAUCUAGCCAUGGGCAGGUUGAAGGUUGGGUAACACUAACUGGAGGACCGAACCGACUAAUGUUGAAAAAUUAGCGGAUGACUUGUGGCUGGGGGUGAAAGGCCAAUCAAACCGGGAGAUAGCUGGUUCUCCCCGAAAGCUAUUUAGGUAGCGCCUCGUGAAUUCAUCUCCGGGGGUAGAGCACUGUUUCGGCAAGGGGGUCAUCCCGACUUACCAACCCGAUGCAAACUGCGAAUACCGGAGAAUGUUAUCACGGGAGACACACGGCGGGUGCUAACGUCCGUCGUGAAGAGGGAAACAACCCAGACCGCCAGCUAAGGUCCCAAAGUCAUGGUUAAGUGGGAAACGAUGUGGGAAGGCCCAGACAGCCAGGAUGUUGGCUUAGAAGCAGCCAUCAUUUAAAGAAAGCGUAAUAGCUCACUGGUCGAGUCGGCCUGCGCGGAAGAUGUAACGGGGCUAAACCAUGCACCGAAGCUGCGGCAGCGACACUAUGUGUUGUUGGGUAGGGGAGCGUUCUGUAAGCCUGUGAAGGUGUCCUGUGAGGUUUGCUGGAGGUAUCAGAAGUGCGAAUGCUGACAUAAGUAACGAUAAAGCGGGUGAAAAGCCCGCUCGCCGGAAGACCAAGGGUUCCUGUCCAACGUUAAUCGGGGCAGGGUGAGUCGACCCCUAAGGCGAGGCCGAAAGGCGUAGUCGAUGGGAAACAGGUUAAUAUUCCUGUACUUGGUGUUACUGCGAAGGGGGGACGGAGAAGGCUAUGUUGGCCGGGCGACGGUUGUCCCGGUUUAAGCGUGUAGGCUGGUUUUCCAGGCAAAUCCGGAAAAUCAAGGCUGAGGCGUGAUGACGAGGCACUACGGUGCUGAAGCGACAAAUGCCCUGCUUCCAGGAAAAGCCUCUAAGCAUCAGGUAACAUCAAAUCGUACCCCAAACCGACACAGGUGGUCAGGUAGAGAAUACCAAGGCGCUUGAGAGAACUCGGGUGAAGGAACUAGGCAAAAUGGUGCCGUAACUUCGGGAGAAGGCACGCUGAUAUGUAGGUGAAGCGACUUGCUCGUGGAGCUGAAAUCAGUCGAAGAUACCAGCUGGCUGCAACUGUUUAUUAAAAACACAGCACUGUGCAAACACGAAAGUGGACGUAUACGGUGUGACGCCUGCCCGGUGCCGGAAGGUUAAUUGAUGGGGUUAGCGGUAACGCGAAGCUCUUGAUCGAAGCCCCGGUAAACGGCGGCCGUAACUAUAACGGUCCUAAGGUAGCGAAAUUCCUUGUCGGGUAAGUUCCGACCUGCACGAAUGGCGUAAUGAUGGCCAGGCUGUCUCCACCCGAGACUCAGUGAAAUUGAACUCGCUGUGAAGAUGCAGUGUACCCGCGGCAAGACGGAAAGACCCCGUGAACCUUUACUAUAGCUUGACACUGAACAUUGAGCCUUGAUGUGUAGGAUAGGUGGGAGGCUUUGAAGUGUGGACGCCAGUCUGCAUGGAGCCGACCUUGAAAUACCACCCUUUAAUGUUUGAUGUUCUAACGUGGGCCCCUUACCGGGGUUGCGGACAGUGUCUGGUGGGUAGUUUGACUGGGGCGGUCUCCUCCUAAAGAGUAACGGAGGAGCACGAAGGUUGGCUAAUCCUGGUCGGACAUCAGGAGGUUAGUGCAAUGGCAUAAGCCAGCUUGACUGCGAGCGUGACGGCGCGAGCAGGUGCGAAAGCAGGUCAUAGUGAUCCGGUGGUUCUGAAUGGAAGGGCCAUCGCUCAACGGAUAAAAGGUACUCCGGGGAUAACAGGCUGAUACCGCCCAAGAGUUCAUAUCGACGGCGGUGUUUGGCACCUCGAUGUCGGCUCAUCACAUCCUGGGGCUGAAGUAGGUCCCAAGGGUAUGGCUGUUCGCCAUUUAAAGUGGUACGCGAGCUGGGUUUAGAACGUCGUGAGACAGUUCGGUCCCUAUCUGCCGUGGGCGCUGGAGAACUGAGGGGGGCUGCUCCUAGUACGAGAGGACCGGAGUGGACGCAUCACUGGUGUUCGGGUUGUCAUGCCAAUGGCACUGCCCGGUAGCUAAAUGCGGAAGAGAUAAGUGCUGAAAGCAUCUAAGCACGAAACUUGCCCCGAGAUGAGUUCUCCCUGACUCCUUGAGAGUCCUGAAGGAACGUUGAAGACGACGACGUUGAUAGGCCGGGUGUGUAAGCGCAGCGAUGCGUUGAGCUAACCGGUACUAAUGAACCGUGAGGCUUAACCUU